AUUGAACGCUAGCGGCAUGCUUUACACAUGCAAGUCGAACGAGUGGCGGACGGGUGAGUAAUAUAUCGGAACGUGCCCAGUCGCGGGGGAUAACUACUCGAAAGAGUGGCUAAUACCGCAUACUAUUGGAGCGGCCGAUAUCGGAUUAGCUAGUUGGUGGGGUAAAGGCUCACCAGGGCGACGAGCCGUAGCUGGUUUGCGAGGAUGACCAGCCACACUGGGACUGAGACACGGCCCAGACUCCUACGGGAGGCAGCAGUGGGGAAUGUUGGACAAGGGGGGAAAGCCUGAUGCAGCCAUGCCGCGUGUAUGAGAAGGCCCUAGGGUUGUAAAGUACUUUCAGUCGGGAGGCGUUACCGACAGAAGAAGCACCGGCUAACUCCGUGCCAGCAGCCGCGGUAAUUC
rnacentral:rRNA from 1 species